UGCGGUAAUUCCAGCUCCAAUAGCGUAUAUUUAAGUUGCUGCAGUUAAAAAGCUCGUAGUUGGAUUUCGGGUGGGGCCUGCCGGUCCGCCGUUUCGGUGUGCACUGGCAGGGCCCACCUUGUUGCCGGGGACGGGCUCCUGGGCUUCACUGUCCGGGACUCGGAGUCGGCGCUGUUACUUUGAGUAAAUUAGAGUGUUCAAAGCAGGCCUACGCUCUGAAUACAUUAGCAUGGAAUAACACGAUAGGACUCUGGCCUAUCCUGUUGGUCUGUAGGACCCGGAGUAAUGAUUAAGAGG
rnacentral:rRNA from 1 species